rnacentral:tRNA from 1 species
GCUCCCCUAGUAUACUUAUUACAAUCGACUUCCAAUCGAUAAAAUCUGGCAUAGCCCCAGAGAGGAGCA